rnacentral:rRNA from 1 species
GGGGAAUAUUGCACAAUGGGCGAAAGCCUGAUGCAGCGACGCCGCGUGCGGGAUGAAGGCCUUCGGGUUGUAAACCGCUUUUGAUUGGGAGCAAGCGAGAGUGAGUGUACCUUUCGAAUAAGCACCGGCUAACUACGUGCCAGCAGCCGCGGUAAUACGUAGGGUGCAAGCGUUAUCCGGAAUUAUUGGGCGUAAAGAGCUCGUAGGCGGUUUGUCGCGUCUGGUGUGAAAGUCCAUCGCUUAACGGUGGAUCUGCGCCGGGUACGGGCAGGCUAGAGUGCGACAGGGGAGACUGGAAUUCCCGGUGUAACGGUGGAAUGUGUAGAUAUCGGGAAGAACACCAAUGGCGAAGGCAGGUCUCUGGGUCGUCACUGACGCUGAGGAGCGAAAGCGUGGGGAGCGAACAGGAUUAGAUACCCUGGUAGUCCACGCCGUAAACGGUGGAUGCUGGAUGUGGGGCCCAUUCCACGGGUUCCGUGUCGGAGCUA